AACACAUGCAAGUCGAGGGGCAUCAGGAAGAAUGCUUGCUUUCUUUGCUGGCGACCGGCGCACGGGUGAGUAACACGUAUCCAACCUGCCCUUUACUCGGGGAUAGCCUUUCGAAAGAAAGAUUAAUACCCGAUAGUAUAAUGAUUCCGCAUGGUUUGAUUAUUAAAGGAUUCCGGUAAAGGAUGGGGAUGCGUUCCAUUAGGUUGUUGGUGAGGUAACGGCUCACCAAGCCUUCGAUGGAUAGGGGUUCUGAGAGGAAGGUCCCCCACAUUGGAACUGAGACACGGUCCAAACUCCUACGGGAGGCAGCAGUGAGGAAUAUUGGUCAAUGGGCGGUAGCCUGAACCAGCCAAGUAGCGUGAAGGAUGAAGGCUCUAUGGGUCGUAAACUUCUUUUAUAUAAGAAUAAAGUGCAGUAUGUAUACUGUUUUGUAUGUAUUAUAUGAAUAAGGAUCGGCUAACUCCGUGCCAGCAGCCGCGGUAAUACGGAGGAUCCGAGCGUUAUCCGGAUUUAUUGGGUUUAAAGGGAGCGUAGGUGGACUGGUAAGUCAGUUGUGAAAGUUUGCGGCUCAACCGUAAAAUUGCAGUUGAUACUGUCAGUCUUGAGUACAGUAGAGGUGGGCGGAAUUCGUGGUGUAGCGGUGAAAUGCUUAGAUAUCACGAAGAACUCCGAUUGCGAAGGCAGCUCACUGGACUGCAACUGACACUGAUGCUCCGAAGUGUGGGUAUCAAACAGGAUUAGAUACCCUGGUAGUCCACACAGUAAACGAUGAAUACUCGCUGUUUGCGAUAUACAGUAAGCGGCCAAGCGAAAGCAUUAAGUAUUCCACCUGGGGAGUACGCCGGCAACGGUGAAACUCAAAGGAAUUGACGGGGGCCCGCACAAGCGGAGGAACAUGUGGUUUAAUUCGAUGAUACGCGAGGAACCUUACCCGGGCUUAAAUUGCAGUGGAAUGAUGUGGAAACAUGUCAGUGAGCAAUCACCGCUGUGAAGGUGCUGCAUGGUUGUCGUCAGCUCGUGCCGUGAGGUGUCGGCUUAAGUGCCAUAACGAGCGCAACCCUUAUCUUUAGUUACUAACAGGUCAUGCUGAGGACUCUAGAGAGACUGCCGUCGUAAGAUGUGAGGAAGGUGGGGAUGACGUCAAAUCAGCACGGCCCUUACGUCCGGGGCUACACACGUGUUACAAUGGGGGGUACAGAAGGCAGCUAGCGGGUGACCGUAUGCUAAUCCCAAAAGCCUCUCUCAGUUCGGAUCGAAGUCUGCAACCCGACUUCGUGAAGCUGGAUUCGCUAGUAAUCGCGCAUCAGCCACGGCGCGGUGAAUACGUUCCCGGGCCUUGUACACACCGCCCGUCAAGCCAUGGGAGCCGGGGGUACCUGAAGUACGUAAACGCAAGGAUCGUCCUAGGGUAAAACUGGUGACUGGGGCUAA
rnacentral:rRNA from 1 species